rnacentral:rRNA from 1 species
AGAGUUUGAUCCUGGCUCAGGACGAACGCUGGCGGCACGCUUAACACAUGCAAGUCGAACGAGAGAAGAGGAGCUUGCUUUUCUGAUCUAGUGGCGGACGGGUGAGUAACACGUGAGCAAUCUGCCUUUCAGAGGGGGAUACCGAUUGGAAACGAUCGUUAAUACCGCAUAACAUAAUUGAACCGCAUGAUUUGAUUAUCAAAGAUUUAUCGCUGAAAGAUGAGCUCGCGUCUGAUUAGCUAGUUGGUAAGGUAACGGCUUACCAAGGCGACGAUCAGUAGCCGGACUGAGAGGUUGAUCGGCCACAUUGGGACUGAGACACGGCCCAGACUCCUACGGGAGGCAGCAGUGGGGAAUAUUGCACAAUGGAGGAAACUCUGAUGCAGCGAUGCCGCGUGAGGGAAGAAGGUUUUAGGAUUGUAAACCUCUGUCUUCAGGGACGAAAAAAGACGGUACCUGAGGAGGAAGCUCCGGCUAACUACGUGCCAGCAGCCGCGGUAAUACGUAGGGAGCGAGCGUUGUCCGGAAUUACUGGGUGUAAAGGGAGCGUAGGCGGGAUCGCAAGUCAGAUGUGAAAACUAUGGGCUUAACCCAUAAACUGCAUUUGAAACUGUGGUUCUUGAGUGAAGUAGAGGUAAGCGGAAUUCCUAGUGUAGCGGUGAAAUGCGUAGAUAUUAGGAGGAGCAUCAGUGGCGAAGGCGGCUUACUGGGCUUUAACUGACGCUGAGGCUCGAAAGCGUGGGGAGCAAACAGGAUUAGAUACCCUGGUAGUCCACGCCGUAAACGAUGAUUACUAGGUGUGGGGGGACUGACCCCUUCCGUGCCGCAGCAAACGCAAUAAGUAAUCCACCUGGGGAGUACGACCGCAAGGUUGAAACUCAAAGGAAUUGACGGGGGCCCGCACAAGCAGUGGAGUAUGUGGAUUAAUUCGAAGCAACGCGAAGAACCUUACCAGGUCUUGACAUCGUAUGCAUAGCUCAGAGAUGAGUGAAAUCUCUUCGGAGACAUAUAGACAGGUGGUGCAUGGUUGUCGUCAGCUCGUGUCGUGAGAUGUUGGGUUAAGUCCCGCAACGAGCGCAACCCUUACUGUUAGUUGCUACGCAAGAGCACUCUAGCAGGACUGCCGUUGACAAAACGGAGGAAGGUGGGGAUGACGUCAAAUCAUCAUGCCCCUUAUGACCUGGGCCUCACACGUACUACAAUGGCUGUCAACAGAGGGAAGCAAAGCCGCGAGGUGGAGCGAACCCCUAAAAGCAGUCUUAGUUCGGAUUGUAGGCUGCAACCCGCCUACAUGAAGUCGGAAUUGCUAGUAAUCGCAGAUCAGCAUGCUGCGGUGAAUACGUUCCCGGGCCUUGUACACACCGCCCGUCACGCCAUGGGAGUCGGUAACACCCGAAGCCUGUAGUCUAACCGCAAGGAGGACGCAGUCGAAGGUGGGAUUGAUGACUGGGGUGAAGUCGGAACAAGGUA